GGAGAGGUGGUCGAGUGGUUGAAGGCACUCGCCUCGAAAGCGAGCAGACGUGAUGAGCGUCUCGUGGGUUCGAAUCCCACCCUCUCCGCCA
rnacentral:tRNA from 1 species